UACGGGGGGGGGGCAAGCGUUGUUCGGAAUUACUGGGUGUAAAGGGCGCGUAGGCGGCCAGACAAAGUCGAGCGUUAAAUUCCAGGGCUUAACCCUGGGCUGUUGCUCGAUACUAGUCGGCUAGAGUGUGGAAGAGGGUGCUGGAAUUCCCGGGUGUAGCGGUGAAAUGCGUAGAUAUCGGGAGGAACACCGGUGGCGAAGGCGGCAUCCUGGACCGGCAUUGACGCUGAGGCGCGAAAGCUAGGGGAGCAAACGGG
rnacentral:rRNA from 1 species